AGACGAACCGUGCGAACGUUGUUCGGAAUCACUGGGCUUAAAGGGCGCGUAGGCGGGCUAUCAAGUCAGUGGUGAAAUCUUUCAGCUCAACUGGAAAAGUGCCGCUGAUACUGGUAGUCUCGAGGGAGGUAGGGGUCGAUGGAACUAAUGGUGGAGCGGUGAAAUGCGUAGAUAUCAUUAGGAACGCCGGUGGCGAAAGCGAUCGACUGGACCUCUUCUGACGCUGAGGCGCGAAAGCCAGGGGAGCAAACGGG
rnacentral:rRNA from 1 species